UCUCUCUCUCUCUCUCUCAAGAUCAACAAUGGCAGAGAUCACAACGGUGCCGUUAACAACCAGCAACAACGCGAACCUGGGAGUCCCGCAGAAGACCAUAGAAGAAACCUACCAGAAGAAGAGCCAACUGGAGCACAUCCUGCUCCGACCCGAUACCUACAUCGGAUCGAUCGAGAAGCACACCCAAAACCUCUGGGUCUACGAGGAUGAGAAAAUGGUGCACCGCCAGGUGACCUAUGUUCCAGGCCUUUACAAGAUCUUCGAUGAAAUCUUGGUCAAUGCUGCUGAUAACAAGCAGAGGGAUCCCACCAUGGAUUCCGUGAAGGUGGUGAUUGAUGUGGAAAACAAUUUGAUCAGCGUUUAUAACAAUGGCGAUGGGGUUCCAGUGGAGAUUCAUAAGGAGGAGGGCGUGCAUGUGCCGGAGUUGAUUUUUGGGCACUUGUUAACCAGCAGUAACUAUGAUGACACGGUGAAGAAGACCACCGGAGGGAGAAAUGGGUAUGGAGCCAAGCUUACAAAUAUUUUCUCCACAGAGUUUGUUAUUGAGACUGCUGAUGGGAAGCGGCAAAAGAAAUAUAAGCAGGUUUUCUCAAACAACAUGGGUAAGAAAUCUGAGCCGAGCAUAACAAAGUGCAAGGAGGGUGAGAAUUGGACGAAGGUCUCAUUUAAGCCUGAUUUAGCAAAAUUUAACAUGACUACGCUUGAAGAGGAUGUGGUCGCUUUGAUGAAAAAGCGAGUUGUCGACUUGGCCGGUUGUCUUGGAAACACUGUGAAGGUUGAGCUAAAUGGGAAGCGGGUUCCUAUUAAAUCAUUCCAGGAUUAUGUUAAAUUGUACCUGGAGUCUGACUCAGAAUCCAAGGAUGCUCCUAAAAGCUUCUAUCAAAAGGUAAGUGAAAGGUGGGAGAUAUGCGUGAGUAUUACUGAGGGGCAGUUCCAACAGGUUAGCUUUGUUAAUGGGAUUGCAACAAUCAAGGGUGGAACUCAUGUGGAUUACAUCACUAACCAGAUUACUAAUUAUGUGGUGGGCGUUGUAAAUAAAAAGCACAAGAAUGCCAACAUCAAAGGGCACAAUGUGAAGAACUAUUUGUGGGUUUUUGUCAAUGCUCUCAUUGAUAACCCUGCUUUUGAUUCUCAAACCAAGGAAACUCUGACUCUUCGUCAGAGCAAUUUUGGGUCCAAAUGUGAACUUCCUGAAGACUUUUUGAAGAAAGUAGCGAAGUCUGAUAUUGUGGAUAACCUACUGUCAUGGGCGAAAUUCAAGCAGGACAAAGAGCUUAAGAAAUCUGAUGGAACAAAGAGAGGGAGGGUUAAUAUUCCAAAGCUGGAGGAUGCCAAUGAGGCUGGAACAAAAAACUCUCAUAAAUGUACAUUGAUUUUGACAGAAGGAGACUCAGCAAAGACACUUGCUAUAUCUGGUUUAGGUGCGCUGCCCCAAGAGAUUCGGGACCUGUAUGGUGUGUUCCCUUUGAGAGGUAAAUUACUCAAUGUACGGGAAGCCACCUCUAAACAGCUUAAUGAGAAUAAGGAAAUUGAAAGUAUCAAGAAGAUUCUAGGGUUACAGCAAAAUAAGCAUUACGAUGGUGUCAAGCCUUUGAGAUACGGUCAUCUGAUGAUAAUGACAGACCAGGAUUAUGAUGGCUCUCACAUUAAGGGCCUGUUGAUCAACUUCAUUUAUUAUUUCUGGCCAUCAUUACUGAAAGUUCCAUCUUUCUUGCUUGAGUUUAUAACUCCUAUUGUGAAGGCAACUCAUAGCAAUGGAAAUGUUUUAUCCUUUUAUACCAUGCCUGAGUACUAUUCAUGGAAGGAAAGUUUGGGGAAUGCAAGUGGCUGGACUAUCAAGUACUAUAAGGGGUUAGGAACAAAUGAUAAAAGAGAAGGGAAGGAAUAUUUUAGAGAUAUUGAGAAGCACAAGAAAGAUUUUAUUUGGGCAGAUGACCAAGAUGGGAAUGCAAUAGAGCUUGCAUUCAGUAAGAAGAAGAUUGAAGAAAGGAAGAAUUGGCUUCGACAGUUUCAGCCUGGCACUCAUCUUGAUCAGAAAAUGAAGCUCAUAAAAUACAGUGACUUCAUUAACAAGGAGCUUAUUUUGUUUUCUGUGGCUGAUGUCCAAAGAUCUAUUCCAUCUAUGAUUGAUGGUCUGAAGCCAGCUCAAAGGAAGAUCCUUUUCAGUUGUUUCAAGAGGAAUUUGGUCAAAGACAUAAAAGUUUCCCAGUUUCAAGGUUAUGUAUCCGAGAAGGCUGCUUACCACCAUGGUGAUCAAAGUCUUAAUGGUACAAUCAUUGGCAUGGCACAGAAUUUUAUUGGCAGUAAUAACAUCAACCUUCUUGCACCAAAAGGACAAUUUGGCACUCGUUGCAUGGGAGGCAAAGAUCAUGCAAGUCCAAGGUAUAUUUUCACUUGUCUUUCUCCUAUUACAAGGUUCCUAUUCCCCAAGGAUGAUGACAAAUUUCUUGACUACUUAGAAGAAGAUGGUCUUUCUAUUGAACCCACAUGGUAUGUCCCAAUUAUACCCCUUGUUCUUGUGAAUGGUUGUGAAGGAAUUGGCACUGGCUGGAGCACUUCCGUUCCCAAUUAUAACCCAAGAGAUAUUGUUGCAAAUGUGAGGCGCUUGUUGAAUGGUGAAUCAAUGGAACCUAUGCAUCCUUGGUAUAGGGGGUUUAAAGGAACAAUUGAAAAAGGUGCAUCAAGGGAAAGCGGGGUUACCUAUACAGUCAAUGGACUCAUGGAGGAAGUGAAUGAAACAACACUCAGGAUCACAGAAUUGCCAAUCCGUAGGUGGACUGAUGAUUACAAGGAAUUUCUGAAUUCCAUGGUAGAAGGUACUAGAGAUGAGAAGGGCAACUUACCCAAGGAUGCGUUUAUCAAGGAUUUCAAGAAAUAUGGAGAUGAUGAAACUGUAUGUUUUGAAGUGCUCUUGUCAGAGGAGAAGAUGAAGGAAGCCAAGGACGAGGGUUUACUUAAGAAAUUUAAACUAACUACUUCAAUCAGCACAAAUAAUAUGCACCUCUUCGAUCAAAAAGGCAUGAUUAAGAAAUAUGGCAGCCCAGAAGAAAGUAAGAGUUUGAUGCUGUGGAAUCAGUUCGGCUUUUUGUACAGCACAUGCGUUGUUACAGUACUUAUAUUUUUUUAUUUGCAGUUCUUGAGGAAUUUUUUCACUACAGGUUUGCUUAUUAUGAAAAAAGGAAGGUAGGUUCAUUUUAGAUUACAGAAAUUACCAGCAGUUUUCAGUUGUUUAUGCUAUUUUCCAUAGAACAGUUUUUAACUAGUUAUUCUAAUGCUUGCAGACAUUAAAACUUGCUGAUUUGGAAAAGGAGUUGCUGAAAUUGGAAAACAAAGUGAGGUUUAUCCUUGGAGUUGUGAAGGGGGAAAUUGUAGUGAGCAAUAGGAAGAGAGCUGAUCUGCUCCGGGAGCUACAACAGAAAGGUUUCACUCCUUUCCCAAAGAAUAUAUCUGCCGAAGCAGUGGUUGCUGGGGCAGCUGAUGAUACAGAAGAACCAGAAGAGAGCAUAGAUGAAACGGAAGCAAACCCCAAGAAUGUACAGGCUAGUGACUACGAGUAUCUGCUUUCCAUGCCUAUUGGAACCUUGACCCUUGAGAAGGUUCAAAAGUUGUGCGAUGACAAGGAUAAAAUCAAUGAAGAAGUUAUAAUUUUGAGAAACACAACUCCAAAGGAUUUAUGGAUGAGAGACCUUGAUGCUUUUGAGAGCCAACUUGAAAAAUUUGAAGCUGAAGAAAGGGAGGAAAGGCAGAAGUCAACAAGUGAAGUAAAUGGUCAAGGUGGUUUUAGGGUUUCAAGACAAGCACCAAAAAAUCCAAGAAAGUAUAAUAAGACAGGCAAAAAUGCAGUAGCUGCAGAAACCAUGGGAAAAUCAACCAGUGCUUCAAUGGAAACAGAAACCGCUCCUGAGGUAGUAAAACCAAGAGGAAAAGCAGGUUCAAGGAAUGCUCCUGCUAAAAAGCUAGAAAAACCCACUCCUGUUUCAGAAGAUGAUGAUGACGAAGUUGAAUCAUUGAAAGAUCGACUUAAAGCAUAUAGACUUGAUUCUUCACCUGAACAAUCCACUUCCAUGGAUACUGAUGUACCCCAAAUGCCUGCAACGAAAGAACAAAGCAAAAGGGCUGCUACGCAGAAGAAGCCUAUGAUAGCUGAUUCAGAAAAUUCUGAAAGUGAGGAUGAAGUAGACAUAAAUGAUGACUCUGAGGUUGAAGUGAUAGCUGCCCCAGAAACAAAAAAGAAAGGAGGGAGAAAACCUGUUGCAAAUGCCAAAGCAGCUAAACCCCCAGCAGGCUUGAAGAAAAGAGGACCGGCUGGCAAGCAAUCUCAGGUAUUGAGCCAGAAGCUUCUAACUGAUAUGCUGAAGCCCGCAGAAAAUUCAGGAAUAUCACCAGAGAAAAAAGUGAGAAAAAUGAGGUCAUCUCCUUUCAACAAGAAGAGUGGUUCUGUUUUGGGCAGAGACAGCACGGAAAAUGAGACCACAGCAAGUGAAGAGAUUAUAGAAGUGCCAGCGAGAGCUAGACCACAAAGGGAGAACCGCAGGCAGACCAAGUAUGUGAUAAGUGACUCUGACAGUGACCAGGCUGAGAAUGAUUCUGACUUUGAUAGUGACCAGGACAAUGAUGAUGAUUUCAGUGAAGAUGAAGACUAAGUUGCUACUUUUCUUUUGAUACAGAGUGGCACUUUAGAUUAGAAAUGGGAAGCCCUGAACACUGCUUUUCUUUAUCAGCUUGAUAAUUUGAAGCAUGUAGUGUUUAUUAGCUACUGUUGAAAUGUAUUUAAUUGCGUUGCUUAUUGGAAUUUGAUUACUUUCGGUAAAUGGCUCUUGAGUUUUUCUCCAUG
rnacentral:misc_RNA from 1 species